AUUGAACGCUGGCGGCGGGCCUAACACAUGCAAGUCGAGCGGAGCGGCGGACGGGUGAGUAAUGCCUAGGAAUAUGCCUGGUUGUGGGGGAUAACGUCCGGAAACGGGCGCUAAUACCGCAUACUAUACGAUUGGUCUAGGUCGGAUUAGCUAGUUGGUGGGGGAAAGGCAUACCAAGGCGACGAUCGGUAACCGGUCUGAGCGGAUGAUCAGUCACACUGGAACUGAGACACGGUCCCGACUCCUACGGGAGGCAGCAGUGGGGAUUAUUGGACAAUGGGCGAAAGCCGGAUACAGCCAUGCCGCGUGUGUGAAGAAGGUCUGCGGAUUGUAAAGCACUUUAAGUUGGGAGGCGGUACCAACAGAAUAAGCACCGGCUAACUUCGUGCCAGCAGCCGCGGUAAUAC
rnacentral:rRNA from 1 species